UUGAUUUUCAUGUGAUCAAUUCUUACUUAAAUACGAUCUCACAAUAAACACUUCAUUGCACAAGUCACCACAGCUUCAAAGUAGGUCGAUAUAAGUAGACAGAAUUAUUGCUAAUUUAUUUUGUUGCAUUUUUACUUGUUACAAAAAGAAGUACAAGAAAAGCUAUGAAAAGAGCUUACAUACUGUUGUGUUUACUGGUUUUUAUUGAUUUGGUCAAAAUGGAGCGAUACAAGCAAAUGAAGGAAAGACCGACGAAAUCAUUAUUGGAAAAGACCUACAAAGAGAAUGUAAAUCGUGUAAUUUGUGAAAAAAUUCAUGGAGUGCCACAAUGGUGUCCAUCCGGUACAAAGUGUUGUCCAGUUCAUAGUUUUGAGAUCGAGUUUGAACAUACCGUUGUUGUCCUUGGUUGAAUGGAAUUUGUUGUUUUAACGGGAAUUGUUGUCGUUCUGGUUCUGGGUGUUUUGGGAUUGGCGAAUCGUGUUCUCUCCGAUGGAAUUCAACACAUGUAUGAAUAAAAUAUUGUAUAAUCUUUCCAAAAUUCACAUGAAUAUCAACUGAGCUUCAUACGAUAAAUUCUUACUUAAAUACGAUCUUAUAUAUUAAUGUAAACAAUUGGACAAGUCACCAGGGGCCGGUUGCACGAAUAGCGAAUCACUCUUAUGAAUAAGAUAAAUCUCUUUUUCACUUGAUCAAAUUUUCCACAUCUUCAUCAAAA